AGUUCCUAACAGAUAUAGGAGCAACCUUUUUUAUAGUUUCAGAUACCAUAGGCCUGGGGCAUGGGUUGAUCCUCUGCUAGGUUUUUGCCACAUAGUCAAGGUAUGAAUUGUCAAUAAAAUAACUCUAUUAAUAAAAUGUCUUAUUCUUUAAAAACAA